rnacentral:rRNA from 1 species
ACACAUGCAAGUCGAACGAGCGAGAGAGAGCUUGCUUUCUCGAGCGAGUGGCGAACGGGUGAGUAACGCGUGAGGAACCUGCCUCAAAGAGGGGGACAACAGUUGGAAACGACUGCUAAUACCGCAUAAGCCCACGGCUCGGCAUCGAGCAGAGGGAAAAGGAGUAAUCCGCUUUGAGAUGGCCUCGCGUCCGAUUAGCUAGUUGGUGAGGUAACGGCCCACCAAGGCGACGAUCGGUAGCCGGACUGAGAGGUUGAACGGCCACAUUGGGACUGAGAUACGGCCCAGACUCCUACGGGAGGCAGCAGUGGGGAAUAUUGCACAAUGGGGGAAACCCUGAUGCAGCGACGCCGCGUGGAGGAAGAAGGUCUUCGGAUUGUAAACUCCUGUUGUUGAGGAAGAUAAUGACGGUACUCAACAAGAAAGUGACGGCUAACUACGUGCCAGCAGCCGCGGUAAAACGUAGGUCACAAGCGUUGUCCGGAAUUACUGGGUGUAAAGGGAGCGCAGGCGGGAAGACAAGUUGGAAGUGAAAUCCAUGGGCUCAACCCAUGAACUGCUUUCAAAACUGUUUUUCUUGAGUAGUGCAGAGGUAGGCGGAAUUCCCGGUGUAGCGGUGGAAUGCGUAGAUAUCGGGAGGAACACCAGUGGCGAAGGCGGCCUACUGGGCACCAACUGACGCUGAGGCUCGAAAGUGUGGGUAGCAAAC